GGGCCGGUAGCUCAGCCAGGUAGAGCGGCGGUCGAGUUAGGUCGAGGCUCCAGACCCGAAGAGCACUAGGUGUGCUCGGAAGUCCAGGGUUCAAGUCCCUGCCGGCCCA
rnacentral:tRNA from 1 species